rnacentral:rRNA from 1 species
UACGUAGGGGGCUAGCGUUGUCCGGAAUCAUUGGGCGUAAAGCGCGUGUAGGCGGUCCGAUAAGUUCGCUGUGAAAGUCGGGGGCUCAACCCUCGGAUGCCGGUGAAUACUGUCGGGCUUGAGUACGGAAGAGGCGAGUGGAAUUCCUGGUGUAGCGGUGAAAUGCGCAGAUAUCAGGAGGAACACCAAUUGCGAAGGCAGCUCGCUGGGACGUUACUGACGCUGAGACGCGAAAGCGUGGGGAGCAAACAGG